UGGGGAAUAUUGCACAAUGGGCGGAAGCCUGAUGCAGCAACGCCGCGUGAGUGAUGAAGGCCUUCGGGUUGUAAAGCUCUGUCUUUUGGGACGAUAAUGACGGUACCAAAGGAGGAAGCCACGGCUAACUACGUGCCAGCAGCCGCGGUAAUACGUAGGUGGCAAGCGUUGUCCGGAUUUACUGGGCGUAAAGGAUGCGUAGGCGGAUUUUUAAGUGAGAUGUGAAAUACCCGGGCUUAACUUGGGUGCUGCAUUUCAAACUGGGAAUCUAGAGUGCGGGAGAGGAGAAUGGAAUUCCUAGUGUAGCGGUGAAAUGCGUAGAGAUUAGGAAGAACACCAGUGGCGAAGGCGAUUCUCUGGACCGUAACUGACGCUGGAGGCAAUGAAAGGCGAUGGGUAGCAAACCAGGAUUAGAUACCCUGGUAGUCACGCCGUAAACGAUGAGUA
rnacentral:rRNA from 1 species